UGAAAAGGCACAGACCCGGGCUCAGGAGAGCAGUGGGCUGAGCCUCAGAGGCAAGACCAGAGAAGGAUCUGUCUCCAGGAAACCCCUGCCUGUCAUCCCUCCACAAGAGCUUCACCUUUUCAGAACAAAGUGCUCAGUGUUAGUAUGAAGAAGACAGAGAUGCAUACCUUGCCAAAAACAACGUGGAGUUAAAAUCUAAUGACCACUCCACGCAGUGGAAAUGGGGUCUCGCUCCUCUUAGGUUGGUCUGAAACUCCUGAGCUCAAGCAGUCCAUCCAAUCCACCCACCUUGGCCUCCCAGAGUGCUAGGAUUAUAGGCGUGAGCCACUGGCGCCUGCCUUGAUACAUACGUUUUCAAUUCUUGCUCUGAUGUUGGCAUUUUGCACUGAUGCUACACCAGCAACAAUGGGCAAAACCACUGGUGACUUAUGGCUGUGGCACCAACUAUACUAGUAGUUAUUGUAUUCUUUACUUUCACACACUUAUACUCAAUUAAUGAAUACACAGUUUUGCUUUAGAAUGUUCUUGAGAAAACAGUAAAACCCCUUGAUUUAUUAUAUCUUGACUCUUGAAUACAUGUU